rnacentral:rRNA from 1 species
UACGGAGGGUGCAAGCGUUAAUCGGAAUCACUGGGCGUAAAGCGCACGUAGGCGGACUCUUAAGUCAGGGGUGAAAUCCUGGAGCUCAACUCCAGAACUGCCUUUGAUACUGGGAGCCUUGAGUUCGGGAGAGGUGAGUGGAACUGCGAGUGUAGAGGUGAAAUUCGUAGAUAUUCGCAAGAACACCAGUGGCGAAGGCGGCUCACUGGCCCGAUACUGACGCUGAGGUGCGAAAGCGUGGGGAGCAAACAGG